rnacentral:rRNA from 1 species
GACAGAGGCCCCGAGCGUUAGUCGGAAUCACUGGGCUUAAAGGGUGCGUAGGCGGACGUGUAAGUGCUUUGUGAAAGCCCCGGGCUCAACCCGGGAACCGCAGGGCAUACUGCACGUCUUAGAGGAAGCUAGAGGCGGGUAGAACGAUCGGUGGAGCGGUGGAAUGCGUAGAGAUCGAUCGGAAUGCCAAGGGUGAAGACAACCCGCUGGGGCUUUCCUGACGCUGAGGCACGAAAGCGUGGGUAGCAAACAGG